rnacentral:rRNA from 1 species
CCCGCGACAAGCGGUGGAGCAUGUGGUUUAAUUCGAAGCAACGCGAAGAACCUUACCAGGUCUUGACAUCCCGAUGCUAUUUCUAGAGAUAGAAAGUUACUUCGGUACAUCGGUGACAGGUGGUGCAUGGUUGUCGUCAGCUCGUGUCGUGAGAUGUUGGGUUAAGUCCGCAACGAGCGCAACCCCUAUUGUUAGUUGCCAUCAUUCAGUUGGGCACUCUAGCGAGACUGCCGGUAAUAAACCGGAGGAAGGUGGGGAGUGACGUCAAAUCAUCAUGCCCCUUAUGACCAGGGCUACACACGUGCUACAAUGGCCGGUACAAAGAGUUGCGAUACCGCGAGGUGGAGCUAAUCUCAUAAAGCCGGUCUCAGUUCGGAUUGGAGUCUGCAACUCGACUCCAUGAAGUUGGAAUCGCUAGUAAUCGCGGAUCAGCACGCCCGCGGUCGAAUACGUUCCCGGGCCUU